GAUGAACGCUGGCGGCGUGCCUAAUACAUGCAAGUCGAGCGAACAGAUAAGGAGCUUGCUCCUUUGACGUUAGCGGCGGACGGGUGAGUAACACGUGGGUAACCUACCUAUAAGACUGGAAUAACUCCGGGAAACCGGGGCUAAUGCCGGAUAACAUUUAGAACCGCAUGGUUCUAAAGUGAAAGAUGGUUUUGCUAUCACUUAUAGAUGGACCCGCGCCGUAUUAGCUAGUUGGUAAGGUAACGGCUUACCAAGGCAACGAUACGUAGCCGACCUGAGAGGGUGAUCGGCCACACUGGAACUGAGACACGGUCCAGACUCCUACGGGAGGCAGCAGUAGGGAAUCUUCCGCAAUGGGCGAAAGCCUGACGGAGCAACGCCGCGUGAGUGAUGAAGGUCUUCGGAUCGUAAAACUCUGUUAUUAGGGAAGAACAAAUGUGUAAGUAACUGUGCACGUCUUGACGGUACCUGAUCAGAAAGCCACGGCUAACUACGUG
rnacentral:rRNA from 1 species